CACAGCUGUGAUGAAGAGCUUCAGAAAUUAAACUAAUUUGACGUAUGCGUCUCCUCCUUCUUCGUGGCAGAGAACUGUUUGAUUCCAGCUGUGAACAUCAGACUGAACAUUAAGUGACAGCAUUUCACCUCCGUCAACAUGGAAAAACUCGCUGCAGUUUUGUUCUUUUUCACUCUCGUAGGUAACAGCUUGGAAGAUGAUAUUACUGCCAGCAGAGCUGAAGUGUUUUCAUCAGAGGGCCGUAGUGUUACUCUGUCCUGUAACUAUUCAGUUAAAGCUGAGAAUCUCCAGUGGUAUCGACAGGAUCCUGGAUCAGCUCCUCAGUUCCUUCUCCUGAUCACUGAUACCAAAGAGCCUUCAGUGCUGAAAGCAAAUCCACACCCUCGACUGACUGCUAAACUGAAUGAGGAGAGAAGUCGAGUGGAUCUGCAGAUCUCCUCUGCUGCAGUGACUGACUCUGCUGUGUACUACUGUGCUCUGCAGCCCACAGUGACAGGAAACACCAAGACUCUGUACAAAAACCUUUGGAGCAAAGAC